rnacentral:rRNA from 1 species
GACGAACGCUGGCGGCGCGCUUAACACAUGCAAGUCGAACGGAAAGGCCUGCUUUCCCUUGUGGAUUGCGGGUACUCGAGUGGCGAACGGGUGAGUAACACGUGAGUGAUCUGCCCCCAACUUGGGUAUAAGCCUGGGAAACUGGGUCUAAUUCCCGAUAGGACUGCAGGGUGGUGCCUGUGGUGGAAAACGAUUUUCUAGUGGUUGGGGAUGAGCUCGCGGCCUAUCAGCUUGUUGGUGGGGUAAUGGCCUACCAAGGCGGCGACGGGUAGCCGGCCUGAGAGGGUGGACGGCCACAUUGGGACUGAGAUACGGCCCAGACGCCUACGGGAGGCAGCAGUGGGGAAUAUUGCACAAUGGGCGGAAGCCUGAUGCAGCGACGCCGCGUGGGGGAUGACGGGGUUCGGGUUGUAAACUCCUUUCGACCGAGAGGAAGCCACCUGGUUGGAAGGGUGGUGACGGUAGUGGUAGAAGAAGCACCGGCUAACUACGUG